UACAGAGGUCCCAAGCGUUGUUCGGAUUCAUUGGGCGUAAAGGGUGCGUAGGCGGCGCGGUAAGUCGGGUGUGAAAUCUCGGGGCUUAACUCCGAAACUGCAUUCGAUACUGCCGUGCUUGAGGACUGGAGAGGAGACUGGAAUUUACGGUGUAGCGGUGAAAUGCGUAGAUAUCGUAAGGAAGACCAGUGGCGAAGGCGGGUCUCUGGACAGUUCCUGAAGCUGAGGCACGAAGGCCAGGGGAGCAAACGGG
rnacentral:rRNA from 1 species